rnacentral:rRNA from 1 species
AUUCGGAUGGAGAGUUUGAUCCUGGCUCAGGACGAACGCUUGCGGCGUGCCUGAGAAAUGCAAGUCGAGCGGGGGCGUUGGCUUCGGUUGAUGCCCUAGCGGCGAACGGUCGAGUAA